UCAUCGCGAGCCGCUUAAUUCGAAAUAUGUCUAAGUUUUGGAUUUUGUUGUUACUCAGUCAAUAUGCACAUAUUGUGAUAUGUGCCAAAGAUACUCAUAUGUGUAUUAGAGAUGUGGAAGUAUCUUAUACUGUGACAGAGCGUGUUCCCCUGGACGCUUAUGAGGACUUUGCGCCUUUUCUUAAAAAAUUGGAUGUGCAAGGCGAAAUGAGAGUUGUUACCAAAACUAAAUUAGAGUCCCGUCAGGAUUGCUGCGAGGGCUAUCAGCGCACAGCGAUAGAGAGCGAGGGUUGUCAACCUGUGCCAACACCGAUAAUGUCAAAAAGCCCUGAAUUUAAAGAAAUUCCAUUUACUUUAAUGUGUGCUGUUUUAAUUUUGUAUAAUUGGCAGUAAUUGUUUCAAAUGCCAUUGUGAAAUAUAACUGUUAUUAAAUAUGUGCAAAUUCGAUUUCACCAUAGAAUUUAUGUACAGAAUCUGAAGCUAAGAAUAAAAUUCAUUUGAUUAAUCUGUCUACAGAAAUUCA